GUUUUUGCCUUUGCAAACCUGGGCUAAAUGCCUUGCCUUUGAACCUUCAUUUCUUCAUCAGUAAAAUGAGGAAAAUGGUAACUCUGUGGAAAGACCUCUGCAAGAAUCAAAUAAAUCACAUAGGUGGCAUAUAGUGGGUGCGGUAUAACCAGUCCUUCUACUUCUCCAAAAAAAUAUCUCAGCAUCUCAGAUCUAUCUAUGACCAUUGCUCUGGGAGAUAAGUUAUGCAAUAAAUAAAUAAUGAAGUGCCUCCCGAGACCCUUUAUGAAGAUGAUUAGAGUUUAGGAAAUAAAGUAUGAGCACUGGGAAGCUGUUAGGUUCACUCACUAGGCAAUGAGUAUCAGUCCUAAUAAUAUUGGAGCUAGCAGGUGAGCAUUUAACAUGUGCUAGGACUUAUUCGAAGCAUUACAUUAAUUCAUUUAAUCUUCACAACCACACUGUGCAAUUGACAGUAUUAUUUUCUCUUUUUACAGAGUAUGAAGGUGAGGCCUAGAGAGGGGAGGAACAUACAUGAAGUUACUCAUCUGCUUGGUGGCAGAGCUGGGAUUUAAACUCAAAUUUUCUCACUCCACAGCCUGUGCUCUGAACCAGGAUCCCACACUAUCUAAAGGGGCUUAUUCCUUUUUCUGAGACAUAGUCUUGCUGUGUCACCCAGGCUGGAGUGCAGUGGCGUGAUCACGGCUCACUGCAGCCUCAACCUCCUCUGCUCAAGCCAUCCUCCUACUGCAGCCUCCCAAGUAACUGUGACUACAGGUGCAAGACAUCAUACCUAGCUAAUUUUUUUUAAUUUUUUGUAGAGAUGGGGUCUUCCCAUGUUGCCCAGGCUGGUCUUGAACUCCGGGGCUCAAGUGAUCUGCCUGCCUCGGCCUCCCAAAGUGAGAAGUGGCUUAUUCCUGUUUACUAAUCUGAUGGCAUCUAUAAGCCUAGCCUAUGUUUUAGCAAACAAAGAUAUCUAAUGCCACAGAGCAUUUACCACAUGGAUCACAUCUUGCUAAGGCAUUUCCUGGAAUUGUUUCACACACUUGUGAGAUCAGGACAACAUUUUCUAUCUCAUAGAUGAGGAAACUGAGAUACAGUGAAGGUAGAGACCCUUUCAAGGUGAUACAGAGUGGGUAGUAGAGUUGAGAUAGAAAUCUAGGCAGAGCCCACCCUUAACCAUCAUGCUGGUUGUUACAAGUCAAGGAUGGGUGCAGUGCAUGAAUAUUAGAAACUGCCCAUGGUUGGUCCUGAAUGUCAGUUAUUCUCAACCAGUAUAAUUCAUUCCAGGACACCUGUGCAAAGUGCCGACUCAGACCUCACAGCCUCUCCCUGAAGCCCCUUGAGGGGAGGGCUUUUCCUCCAGCCCCAGGCCGCACCUCCUGCUUGACCCAUCAGCAUCAUAUGCCUCCCCCCAUUUGCCCCGGGACUUAAUCAUCAGGGUCCCCGGGCCUCCAGCAGGUCCUCUGGUAGAAUUCGGGGGGUUGAAGAACUUGGAAGGGAAAAAUGACAUCUCUGUGCUCACCAAUCUUAACUGAAAUUGAGCAUUUCUUUUAGUUGCAUGUCACCAGUAGAAAUGACAGAUAAAUUCCCAACAUUAUGCAGUUGCAGAGGCCUGGAAAUACCAUUUACGUCCAUUGCCACUUCUAAAUUAUGAAGCUGAUUAGAUGUGCGGCUGGAUCUUAUUAUUUAAGGUCUUAAUAAAGAAGCACAUGCAUUGCUAAAUUAUAAAUUUAUGUUUUUAAUAUUUUGAUACUAUUUUUAAUAUAAUUAGUUAUAAGUGUUUUGAAGUCCUAUGUGUUUUUAUGGUCUGCAUUGAAAAACAGUAUUCCCAGGAGGGAAUACUCGAAAUACAGUCUGUAAGCAUCAACAGACUUCCAAAGGGUCCAUGGCUCAUGAAAUAUUUACAGCAACCCUUUGAGGUAGGAAUCUUUGCUCAUCUGUUAUAAUUUUCAUUUUACAGAAGAGGAAACUCAGGCACAGGGAGAUCAAGAAAACUGCCCAAGGACACACAGCUAGUAAGUGAAGAGAAAGAGUUUGAACCCAAAGCAGUCUAGAGCAGGGCCUGUGCUCUGGGCCAGCAUAUGGGGUCAGGUCCCGUUAGCGCCCUUAUUGGCUGCCAGACCAUUCUUUCACCUGACACUUUCUUCACUGGAAUGUGAUUGCUGCUCUAUGUCUCUGCCUCCCUGAGUGCCUUGAGGGCUGGGACUGGUUUUAUUUAUCUCCGAAUCCCUAGAACCUAACUCAGUGCUGAGCCCAGAAAAGGUUCCAAAUAAAUGUUUCUCAGUGAAUGUGUUUCUAACCCAUAAGUGCCUCAUACAUACAUUGCUAGUCUAAAGAGCUUUUCUUUUCUGAUGGAAUUUUACUUCUGAGGCACCACAGGAAGACAGUUGGAAAGCUUGAUUGAGCCAGAGUUUAGCACCAGAUUAGACCUGUAGAUUUGUCUCUUUUGGUGUGAAGAGUUAAAAGGUGUGUAAGCUGGGAGGGGUGGGGGACUUGUGGAUUUCAGUGUCUUUAGACAGGGUCUGGCCCCUGCAGGGAACUGAGUUUGAUUCAUGUUCCCACCUUAAAUCCAGGAUGAACCCAUCUCAAGAUCCUUAACUUAAUUUGUAAAGAGCUUAUUUCCAAAUAAGACGAAAUCAUAGGUACCAGAGGCUAGGACUUGGACAUAAUUUUGGGCCAGAGUCCAAUUCAACCCACUACAUUCUAAAAGAGGAAAAUGGACACCAGCCUACUUGGUAAUGGAGGAAAAUGGACAACAAAUAAAUAUAUAGCAUGUGAAAUGGUAAAGAAUGCUGUUCCAAAGAAGGGGAAAAGAGGGAAGAAAGACAGAAUCUAUGGGGGCAAGCACUGCAGUUCUAAAUGGGGCAUUCAGGGAAGGCCUCACUGUGAAAGUAAACAUUUGAGCAAAGACAUGAAGGUGGCCACAGAAAAAGCCACGUAGGUAUCAUCAUGAAAAGUGUCCCAGGGAGAGGAAAAUAGCAAGUAUAAAAGCCUACAGGAAGGAGCAUGCCUGGAAAGAAUUGAGCAUGGGGAAGAGAGGGAGGAAGGCAGUGGUGGGACUUGGAUCACAGAGGACCUCAUGGGCACUGUUCCUCUGACCAAGAUGAAAGCCAUUGGAGGGACGGUUUUGAGCAGAGAGGUUGAUGUAACAGAGAACGUUAGCUGCCUUAUGGAGACCAGUGAGGAGGAAACUGCAGUAACCCAGAUGGGAGAUACUGGCUUGGACCAGGUAGCAGCAGUGGAGGUGAGGAGGAUUGGUGGAAUCCUGGGCACAUUUUGAAGAUUGGGUCAGUAGCAUUUCCUAAUAGAUGUGGAAUGUGAUAAAAAGAGAGAAGUCCCAGAUAACAGUGAGGUGUGUUAGUCUAAGCAAUUGCAAAGAUGGAGUUGCCAUUAACUGAGUUGGAGAAGGAUGUAGGUGGAAGAGAAUUAUAGGGAAAAGACAGGAAUUGAGUUUUGGACAUGUUGAGUUUGAGAUAUUGUAUUAGUCCGUUUUCACACUGCUAUGAAGAUACUACCUGAGACUGCAUAAAUAUAAAGGAAAGAGGUUUAAUUGAUAUAAAGGAAAGAGGUUUAAUUGACUCACAGUUCCACAUGGCUGGGGAAGCCUCAGGAAACCUACAAUAAAUGGCAGAAGGAGAAGCAAACUCAUCUUUCUUCACAAGGCGGCAGGAGAGAGAAGUACAGAGCGAAGGGGAGAAGAGCCCCUUAUAAAACCAUCAAAUCUCGUGAGAACUCACUCUCAUGAGAACAGCAUGGAGGAACCAUCCCCAUGAUCCAAUCACCUCUCAUGAGGUCCCUCCACCAACACAUGGGGAUUACAAUUUGGAUUAUAAUUCAAUAUGAGAUUUAAAUGGAGACACAGAGCCAGACAAUAUCAGAUGUCAGCUAAGAAGAGAUGAUGUUUAAAUAGUUGGAUAUUUGAGUCUGGAGUUUGUGGUGAGGUCUGAGCUGCAGAUAUGAAGUUGGUUGUCAGCAUAGAGACAAUAUUUAAAACUGUGAGAAUGGAUAAACAGGAACAAGGACUAGCCUUCGCAAAGCACACCUCAACAUUAAGAGAUUGAGGUGGGGUGCAAUGGUUCAUGCCUGUAAUCCCAGCACUUUGGGAGGCUGAGGAGGGUGGAUCACGAGGUCAGGAGUUCGAGACGAGCCUGGCCAACAUAGUGAAACCCCGUCUCUACUAAAAAUACAAAAAAUUAGCCAGGCACAGUGGCAGGCACCUGUAAUCCCAGCUACUCAGGAGGCUGAGGCAAGAGAAUUGCUUGAACCCAGGAGGUGGNNNNNNNNNNNNNNNNAGAUUGUGCCACUGCACUCCAGCCCAGGUG
rnacentral:lncRNA from 1 species